AUGGCCUCCAACCAGAACCAGGCCAGCUACCACGCCGGCGAGACCAAGGCCCGCACCGAGGAGAAGACCGGGCAGGUGAUGGGCGCGACCAAGGACAAGGCGGGGCAGACCACGGAGGCCACCAAGCAGAAGGCCGGACAGACCACCGAGGCCACCAAGCAGAAGGCCGGCGAGACGGCCGAGGCAACGAAGCAGAAGGCCGGUCAGGCCACGGAGGCCACGAAGCAGAAGGCCGGCGAGACGGCCGAGGCCACCAAGCAGAAGGCCGCCGAGGCCAAGGACAAGACUGCGCAGACGGCGCAGGCGGCCAAGGAGCGCGCCGCCGAGACCAAGGACCAGACCGGCAGCUACCUCGGCGAGAAGACAGAGAUGGCCAAGCAGAAGGCCGCCGAGACGACCGAGGCUGCCAAGCAGAAGGCCUCGGAGACGGCGCAGUACACCAAGGAGUCCGCCGUCGCCGGCAAGGACAAGACCGGCAGCGUCCUCCAGCAGGCCGGCGAGACGGUGGUGAACGCCGUGGUGGGCGCCAAGGACGCCGUGGCCAACACGCUGGGCAUGGGCGGCGACAACGCCACCAAGGACACCACCACCGGCGCCACCACGAAGGACACCACCACCACCACCACCAGGAAUCACUAG
rnacentral:rRNA from 1 species